AAGCCUGAUCCAGCAAUGCCGCGUGUGUGAAGAAGGCCUUCGGGUUGUAAAGCACUUUUGUCCGGAAAGAAAUCCUUGGCUCUAAUACAGUCGGGGGAUGACGGUACCGGAAGAAUAAGCACCGGCUAACUACGUGCCAGCAGCCGCGGUAAUACGUAGGGUGCGAGCGUUAAUCGGAAUUACUGGGCGUAAAGCGUGCGCAGGCGGUUUGCUAAGACCGAUGUGAAAUCCCCGGGCUCAGCCUGGGAACUGCAUUGGUGACUGGCAGGCUAGAGUAUGGCGGAGGGGGGUAGAAUUCCACGUGUAGCAGUGAAAUGCGUAGAGAUGUGGAGGAAUACCGAUGGCGAAGGCAGCCCCCUGGGCCAAUACUGACGCUCAUGCACGAAAGCGUGGGGAGCAAACAGGAUUAGAUACCCUGGUAGUCCACGCCCUAAACGAUGUCAGCUAGUUGUUGGGGAUUCAUUUCCUUAGUAACGUAGCUAACGCGUGAAGUUGACCGCCUGGGGAGUACGGUCGCAAGAUUAAAACUCAAAGGAAUUGACGGGGACCCGCACAAGCGGUGGAUGAUGUGGAUUAAUUCGAUGGAACGCGAAAAACCUUACCUACCCUUGACAUGGUCGGAAUCCCGCUGAGAGGUGGGAGUGCUCGAAAGAGAACCGGCGCACAGGUGCUGCAUGGCUGUCGUCAGCUCGUGUCGUGAGAUGUUGGGUUAAGUCCCGCAACGAGCGCAACCCUUGUCCUUAGUUGCUACGCAAGAGCACUCUAAGGAGACUGCCGGUGACAAACCGGAGGAAGGUGGGGAUGACGUCAAGUCCUCAUGGCCCUUAUGGGUAGGGCUUCACACGUCAUACAAUGGUCGGAACAGAGGGUUGCCAACCCGCGAGGGGGAGCUAACCCCAGAAAACCGAUCGUAGUCCGGAUUGCACUCUGCAACUCGAGUGCAUGAAGCUGGAAUCGCUAGUAAUCGCGGGUCAGCAUGCCGCGGUGAAUACGUUCCCGGGCCUUGUACACACCGC
rnacentral:rRNA from 1 species